rnacentral:sRNA from 2 species
UAAAGUUAUGAGCAGAUUCCCGAUAGGAUUCACGAAAGUGAAGUUGCCUUGUAACCACCAAUCAUAGGGGGAAUAAAAAUG